CUCAGUAGCCAGUGUAGAUCCUGUCUUUUGUAAUCAGCAGCUACAUCUGGCUACUGGGU
rnacentral:pre_miRNA from 2 species